rnacentral:rRNA from 1 species
AUUGAACGCUGGCGGCAGGCCUAACACAUGCAAGUCGAACGGUAACAGGAAGAAGCUUGCUUCUUUGCUGACGAGUGGCGGACGGGUGUGUAAUGUCUGGGAAACUGCCUGAUGGAGGGGGAUAACUACUGGAAACGGUAGCUAAUACCGCAUAACGUCGCAAGCCCAAAGAGGGGGACUUUCGGGCCUCUUGCCAUCGGAUGUGCCCAGAUGGGAUUAGCUAGUAGGUGGGGUAACGGCUCACCUAGGCGACGAUCCCUAGCUGGUCUGAGAGGAUGACCAGCCACACUGGAACUGAGACACGGUCCAGACUCCUACGGGAGGCAGCAGUGGGGAAUAUUGCACAAUGGGCGCAAGCCUGAUGCAGCCAUGCCGCGUGUAUGAAGAAGGCCUUCGGGUUGUAAAGUACUUUCAGCGGGGAGGAAGGGAGUAAAGUUAAUACCUUUGCUCAUUGACGUUACCCGCAGAAGAAGCACCGGCUAACUCCGUG